CACAAGGAGAGAGGAGACCUUUCAGCUCCACUCGCCCAUUGACUUUAUUGUGGAAGAGGCUGAGAGAGGCAGUGGGUCACCAACACAAUGGCUUUCAUGGCAACAGUCCUGGUGCUGCUGGCUGCCGGAGUUCAUGUCGAUAGUCAAACUCUCGACAGCUAUAUCCCUCACAUCACCAACCGGGAUCUGGAAGGGAAGGUCACCACAUCCACCUUUGUCCUGGAGCAACCACGCUGCAACUUCACUGAUGUUGGAGAAGACGAGUGGAUCUGGUUGCUGGUGGCCCGCAGCAGUGCUGCUGAAGGAAUUCCCCUGCCCAAAGUUCCUAAGAAUCUACCCUACCAGUCUUUCAGCACUAACUCCGCUUAUAUGACCCUGGAGACGGCUGCCGUCAACUACCCUUGUGCAACAUCACCAGAUGAGAUCACCAUUCUACGGGUUGGAACCGAAACCUCGUGCAUAAAGGAUGCCUCGACACCAAACUGCAAUGGCCCCCUCCCAGACCCUGGGCCCUACAAAGUCCGGUUUAUUGUAAUAAGACCCGAUAACACCACUAAGUCUAACUGGUCAGAUGACAUCAUACUGAUUCAAGGGAGAGACUACACCACUAUUAAUACGUCGCCCAGACGGGGGAACAAAGGAAUGAUCGCCCUCACUUCCAUCCUCUCGGUCCUCAUGGCUAUCCUGUUGGCCUCCUUCAUUGCUAUCCUGAUCUAUAAAUGUUCCGACAAUUGCGGCAAUGCUGAUAUCGCAAGCAUCCGGGAUGCAGCAACAGUGACCCGCUACUCCACCCAUCAUAUGUACAAUCAUCCUACAUCCAGUUCAUGAGUUUCUACAUCCUUCAACAUCUUCGUUCAGUCCCCCUCCUCCUCUAUUCAUUAGGACCAUGCAGAAAGCCUAACUGGACAGCUGACCUUUGAAGUAGGAACUCCAAAUCAACCCCCUUUUGCCUUCUCAGCACAUGUGGGGAAGGGAGAGACCAGGAGAGCCAUAAUCAUCUUCUACUGAAAUCUAAGCUUUGGGGGGUCACUAUAUUCUAUUGGUUAUAUACCAGUUUAACCAUGGCCAUAGCAUUCUGGGAACUGUAGUUUUGGAGAAGGUACUGAGAACUAUGUGGUGAUCCUAAGCUCUCCCUACUUCACAGAACUACAGUUCCCCAGGGAGAAAGAAAGACUGCUAAACCAGUUUCGGUUUGUAGUGGAGAUGCCCUGUUAGACUUCUUUUUGGUACUCAAGAGCCAAUUUAUCCAACCAAGGGAAGGCCAAGACUUGCCUUCUCUUCACAUGUUGACUUGGGGGCAGUUGCACAGAAGAAUUGUCAGGGGUCAUUUCGUAGAAAAAGAGGUGCAGGAACUUAUUAGCAUA